rnacentral:rRNA from 1 species
GACGAACGCUGGCGGCGUGCCUAACACAUGCAAGUCGAGCGGAGGUACUUGAGGAGUAAUCUGAGGGUACUUUAGCGGCGGACGGGUGAGUAACGCGUGAGCAACCUGCCUUUCACAGGGGGAUAAGGCGGCGAAAGCCGCUCUAAUACCGCAUGAGACCACGGGGAUGAUAUUCCAGGGGUCAAAGGAGCAAUCCGGUGAGAGAUGGGCUCGCGUCCGAUUAGGUAGUUGGUGAGGUAACGGCCCACCAAGCCAAUGAUCGGUAGCCGGCCUGAGAGGGUGAACGGCCACAUUGGAACUGAGAGACGGUCCAAACUCCUACGGGAGGCAGCAGUGGGGAAUAUUGGGCAAUGGGGGAAACCCUGACCCAGCAACGCCGCGUGAGGGAAGAAGGUUUUCGGAUUGUAAACCUCUGUUCUUGGAGAAGAGAAGAAGACGGUAUCCAAGGAGGAAGCCCCGGCUAACUACGUG